rnacentral:rRNA from 1 species
CUCAGCCUACGGGGGGCAGCAGUGGGGAAUAUUGCACAAUGGGGGGAACCCUGAUGCGGCAAUGCCGCGUGGGUGAAGAAGCACUCCGGUGCGUAAAGCCCUGUCAGCAGGGAAGAAAAUGACAGUACCUGGACAAGAAGCCCCGGCUAACUACGUGCCAGCAGCCGCGGUAAUACGUAGGGGGCAAGCGUUAUCCGGAUUUACUGGGUGUAAAGGGAGCGUAGACGGCUGUGCAAGUCUGAAGUGAAAGCCCGUGGCUCAACCGCGGAACUGCUUUGG